rnacentral:piRNA from 2 species
UAUCAGGGACCCUGUGGGGAUGAGGUGG